AUUCAAAGUUUUUCCACAUAAAUAAAAGCCUGUUUUGACUUUCUUUUACCUCACUUGCUUUUCCCUCUGUCCUCAGUGCUUAUAGUAUACCUGUAGGUUGGCUUCAGCUCCCAGGACAGUCCGUCAGUGUCCAGUAUGACGUAUUCCAGCAGAGCUGCUCCCGAGCCGUCUGUUUUUAUGGGGUGACUGAAGCCCUGCGACAAAGAGGAAGAUAAACAGGUUGCGUGUGUGUGUUGCCAGGUUUCCCCCUGACAUCCACUCCCCAGCCUCCCGAACCCGAUGCACGGCGUGAGCCACGAAGAGGACAGAGCUGUAGAUGGUGCCGAAUAGAGGAGACACCUGCAGGACACACAGAGGCAUCAAAAAAAGUUGCACACGGUCUUCUUUCUUUCUGUCUCUGCAGCUCCAGGCAUCACCUGCUCAGGCAUCAGCGUCUUCGCCACCUCCCCCCUCUCCACGGCCUCCCUGUAUGCCUCGUAGAAGGACACCUGCUGGGAGUCGAUGGUGACGGUCAGCACGGCGUCGUAGGCCCUCAGUAGUUUACUGUUCCUCUUCAGAGCGGGGUAGGUGAUGUUUCUGUACGGCAGGCUGUAGAGCAGAGUGUCGUACGGGACGAACACCAGCGAGCCGUCGGUCAGCUGCAGGUCGUAGGCCGCCUCCAGCAGCUGCUUCUGAACGCCACCGCCCAUCAGAGCCGAGUGCAUGCAGAGGAUCACAACUACAACCAAACAGGAGGACUGUUUACUCAGGGUUUAUUUAUUUAAAACAAUUAAGAGGAAAAAGUUAGGAUCCUUUCUGAGAGUCUCGACAGCAGAAAAAACCUUGAACUCGCCUCGGAUUUCCCUCAUUUUGCGGAGCUUGAUCAGAGUUCUUCGGAUGCUGUGAGGUGUGUUUUCCAGAAUACUGACCAACCUGACCGGAAGACCGUGACUCCUUAAGGAAUCAGAAACCUGGACGGGACAUAGAAAACACAAGGACACAAUCAAUGGAGAGAAGAAGCAGAAAAAGAGAGCAGAUUUCCCCAAAAAAUGCUGCAUUUUAGCAAUAAUUUCCCAGUAAAAGCGUUGGAGUUGACUUUAAAAUUUGAUGUAUUAUGUCCCUUCACUGAUGGUUCCUCUGCCGUCCAUCACUUUCAUUGGAUUGCACUUAAAUUCUCCUUCUACUGGACUAACCUUGAUGGCCGUCUCCACCCAGACGUCCUCAGCAGAAGUGAUGAUGGCGAUGUUGGCCCACCUGAAGUAGUUGACGAUGCUGAGCAGCACCUGGCUGGGCCUCGGCAUGGAGCGGGCGAACGUCGGGUGGCUCCGAACAUCGUCCAGCUCAUCGCCGACACAACCGAAAGAAAACAAGGCCUGCAGGGGAGAGGAGCAGACAUUUUGCAGCAGGAAUAGACUGUCAUUUCUACCUUAAGAUGAUCCAAAACACUGACCUUGUUCCAGCCUUUGCUCAGCAUCGAAGCAGCGUCACAGUAUCCGGGGUUUGCUGGUCCGAUGAACGCUGAAGCCUUCGUGUGGAAACCAAGGAACUUCUCCAGCGCCCUGGAUGUCUCACAUGGCUCCUGAAGAAUGACAAUCAAUGCACCAAUCAGAGAGUUCAAUGCACAUUACUGUCUCAUGUCUGAUAGAGGCGAUGAAGCGGCGUACCUGCAGCACGGUGUAGUCGAAGGUUGCACCGUAGGACAGAGAGCGGUCCUUGUUGAUGCGGUUUACGGCGAGCUGUGCAGCCACGCUAGGGAGGGCCUUUGCAAAGAGAGGGUCGCAUCCCCAAGGCCCGACAAUCCCUACCCGGAAAAAGGAUGCAUGCACCGGGCAGGGAAUGAAACACAGGAGGACCGGGAGGAACCUCAGGAGGGAUGAGAGGCGGGAUAAAGUAGGGUGUUUGUCUGGUGUCUGCCUCCCUUUCAGAGGUGAGGAGAAGAUGGAUUGUGGUUGCAUCUCAACGUUUAAAACCUCCAGAGCUCACAGGAAUCUGGAGGAAGACGGUCUGAAGAUGCUGGAACGAUAAAGGGUGUGGAAGAAGAAGUGAAAGAGGACUCCUACCAUCGAUGAGACGGGCGGGUCUUGCUUCGUUUCGAGGGAAAUCCAAGGCUACAUCCUCUUUUGUUUACGUCCAUAAAGAUGGAAAGCUGUCCAUGAUAAAGCAAGGUGUGUGUUACUGCAUCACACGUAACUCAGCG